rnacentral:rRNA from 1 species
UACGUAGGGGGCGAGCGUUGUCCGGAUUUAUUGGGCGUAAAGAGCGUGUAGGCGGCCAGGUAGGUCUGCUGUGAAAACUCGAGGCUCAACCUCGAGACGUCGGCGGAAACCAUCUGGCUAGAGUCCGGAAGAGGAGAGUGGAAUUCCUGGUGUAGCGGUGGAAUGCGCAGAUAUCAGGAGGAACACCAAUAGCGAAGGCAGCUCGCUGGGACGUUACUGACGCUGAGGCGCGAAAGCGUGGGGAGCGAACAGG